AGAGGACGUUAAACCGAGCGCGUGCAUAUGUGGUACGUAUAAAUUGGAGUUUGUAUGCCAAAGUUAUGAGUAUUUUUGUGUGAGGGGUAUUUUGGUCAUUUCAUCACACCUUAAUUAUAAGGGGCUGAUCAGCCCCAUUUCCAGCCAUUCUCCCCAUCCUUCACGACAGAAACCAGAAAGAAAAAAGAGAGAGAGAGAGAGAGAGAGAGAGAAAGAAAGAAAGAGAUCUUCCGGUGCGGAUUCCGGCAAUUUCCGGCAGCAAAAAUGUUCUUGUUGUUUUCUGGCUUGGUGGUAGUUGAAAGAAGUGUUAAGGAUGUUGAGAUGAAGCCGCUGUCAAAAUUUGGUGACCAUCGGAGGAGUUGGCCGACGAGUGAACAGUGCCGCCGAGUGAACAGUGCGGGUGACGUAUCAAAUUACUACUGGGUGAAGGAGCUCUUAUGCGUGGUUGCCUAAAUAGUACUUUUGCAGGCUAGAUUAGUUGAGGUCGGGCGUACAUGGAGUUGAGGCAUAGCCAACAGCAUUGCUUCCGCGUACUCAUUCUAUUUCGGUUUUAUGUGAUACCUAAUAGAUUAAUAUUGCUCUGAUAAGCUGUGGGAUUAAUAUUGUUUUUGGGUUGAGACUGUUAUUUGAGAAAUUGAAGUUGUGAUUUGGGGAGCAGGUGGCUCCAGGAGUAUAAGGUUGGUUUGUUUGAAGUACUUUGUGUCUUUCAACAGGUUUUGGGUAGUCCAUUUUAGGGGAAGUUCUGCCAAAUUUUUUGGUAGAAUUUCUUCUAAGGUGGGCCCCGCAGGGCCACUUCGGAUUUCAGGGGGAAAUUCGGGGCGGGUCCUGUCAAACCAUGUACUCUGUGAUAGCACUUUGGAUCGGUAACAUUACCACACACUUGGUGUUCAUUCUAGUGCAAGAAUCCCAACGCUUAUAAGUCAGAGCCAGUACGCCGAUGUGAAUGUCAUUCUUAAGGCUGCUAGGAAUGUCUUGGACAUAACCAAACUGUCGACUAAACUGAUGUGGAUUGUAUGGUUGAAUGACUCGUCAGUUAUCCUGCCUUAGAGAAAGAUACCCGGAUCGAAGGCUGAUGGGAUAUAUGAAGUCUAAAUGGGAGAUGUUAUCGUGGUUGAUAAUCACUCUGUUCUCCAAAAAUACCCAGGCAAAUGCAUCCAUCCUCACAUUGUCACAUGCAUUGAACAAAGAAAGAGCUUGUGAGUCCUCAAAAUGCUUAGCUGAAAAUUCUCCGAAGAAGUGAACCAUA